rnacentral:rRNA from 1 species
UACGUAAGUGGCGAGCGUUAUCCGGAAUCACUGGGCGUAAAGCGUGCGUAGGCGGUACAGUAAGUUGGAAUUGAAAGCCCGGGGCUCAACUCCGGACCCGGUUCCAAAACUACUGGGCUAGAGCAGAUCAGAGGACAGCGGAAUUCCCGGUGUAGCGGUAAUAUGCGUAGAUAUCGGGAGGAACACCAGUGGCGUAGGCGGCUGUCGUGGGGUCUUGCUGACGCUGAGGCACGAAAGCCAGGGGAGCGAACGGG